CUAUACUGCUUGCGGAUUGGUUCGCGUAGCCGUCAAUCAUGAAGCAAGGCGUUACUUCCAAACCGUUUGUGGCGCAAAAAUGGCAGAGACCCUUAAAGACCUAAGCAGACCCCAGAUGUUUUUAUUUGGGUGUGUGCUGAAGGCUGAUAAAAAAGAGCACAAAGUCGAGGUAGACGAUGAUGAAGUUGACCACCAGCUGUCCCUGAAAGCGGUGUGUCUAGGAGCAGAAGCAGAGGAUAAGUUUCAUACAGUGGAGAUAGAGGGAGUGACAUACGAUGGCAAGACGACCAAAAUCCCUCUUGCUGUGCUGAAGCCUUCUAUUCUGCCUUCUCUAAGUUUAGGGGGUUUUGAAAUCACUCCCCCAUUCACGUUCCGUUUGCAGUCCGGAGCUGGCCCAGUAUACAUCAGUGGGCAACAUUUUGUCAGCAUGAAGGAGUCUGAUGAUGAGGAAGAAGAAGAGGAGAAUAACACAUCACCGGUGAAGAGACCAUCCAACAUGACCACUGGAAAAGUGCCACUGAAGAAGCUCAAAAUGGAUUCGGACGAUGAUGAUGAAGAUGAGGAUGAUGAUAGUGAAGAUGAAGAGGAUGAUGAUAGUGAUGAACAUGAUGAAGUUGAAAAGCCAGUUGCACCAAGCCUCACCAAACCAUCACUGAAAGUCCCAGAGAAAAAGAAGAGUGCAGACAAACAGAAUGGCUCUCCAGGAAAAAAAGAUGACAAACCAGGGAAGCCUCAAAGCCAGGUUGCAGUAAAGGGUAAAGACAAGACUGGAGCAGGACCUUCUGGGAAGACUCCCAACAAGCCCAGCAUAAGUGAGGUCAAGAACAGAUUAGCAACUGCUGCUAAAGAGGGCAAGCCAUUUCCAAAAACAGAACAGAAAUUUGAGAACUACGCCAAGAACGGUUUAAAGAUCUCUGAUAAACAAGGCCCUGUUUUCCAACUUUGGAGCAGAGCAGGUGUACUCUGAUGGAGAGUGGGAGGAGUGUGUGUGUGUGUGUGUGUGUGUCUGUGUAUGUGUGUGUGUCUGUGUGGAACCAGCUCUGGAAGCACUUUGGUCCAGGCAGCAGGCAGAGAUAUGAGACAGAGAGAGGCACUAGUCAUACGUUCUGGUGAUCAAAGACCUUUGGAACUUUGUACAAACACUGAAAAAGUAAUGGCAGCUUUUUGCGACUCUACCCCCUUUUGCGUCCCCCCCCAUGAACCAGAGGACUAUCCAGUGAUGGCCUUCAGCUGUGAAUUCUGGCUUCUCCCACUCUAAUGGAAACCGUCCACUUUCCUCUGUGUGUAAUGAGACUUUCAAAAUAGAAAGACACUGAGUAGUUAAAGAGAGCUCAUUACCUUGUGUUAUUCUAACAAAACCCUCCAAUGUGUUGUGGAUGUGUCGAACAUAGGAUUUCCAUCAAUGGUGGUAAAUAUUGUAUGACAGCUAUGAAGUAGGUAGGGUAAUUUGUGUUGAAAUACAUCUGUGGGGUUAAUUGCAGUAUAAACAACAAUUUAAGAAUUGGAAGAAUAUUUCUGAAGGAAUCUCCUGGUGUAUCUGAGCAGGUUAGCCUUAUGCUUCUCGGCAGCUUUUCUUGGAAUAGUUUUAAAAUGACCGUCAUUUGCUGUAAAUAGUGCUAUUCAUUUUAAUGUAAAAACAUGGCAACUGAAAUCUAGCUGAAGAUUGCGUCUGCUUCUGAGUAUUCUGUCUGGCCCAAAUGUUCCGUCUGACUGAGGAUUCCAUCUGGCUCACAGUAAGCCUUGUAGCUCCGAAAAUCCCGUCUGGCUGCGCUUCUAUAGCUCUCUGUAAGGUGGAAAUCUUGGUGAGCCAAGGUAUCUUUGCCUAGGUACUGUAAUCAGAUAAAGUGAUCUUUUAAGGCUUUCUAGCGAUCUGUUGCCAGAAAAUGACAGCAAAAAAUAUUCAUUGGCUUAAAUUGUGAAACGAUUUCACAGAAGCAUUCCAGUUCGUUUAGUGCUUUGAAUUCCAGAGUUAAUGCUAAUGUCCAUUAUCUUUUCAGCAUUUUUCUAGUAUUUCAUAUUAUUAAUGCACUCUUGAGUUUGUCUUUUGUUGUACUUCUACUGUAAUAUUUUAAAUAGGAUUACUUAAUCCUUUACAUCUUCUAAUUGUAUUUGUUUAAUGUUGUACUUACUCACUGAUGUUUCAAAGGCGGUUUAACUCUGAAUGUUUAAAGAGUUUUAACAGUUAACAUGGAAGGGAGCAAACAUAAUCUGAGUGUUACCUAUGUGUAAAAUACCUUAGACCUUGAACCAUGGUAUUUCUAAUGCAUUUGUGUAGUUGCUUUUAAGCCUAACCUGACAAUGCCACAUUUUUGUCACAGACAUGCGUAAGCACAACGAUUCCCUAUAAUCUUAUAGCUUGAAUCCAAGUUCUGUAAGAUCUCUGAUCUGUCCAAACAAAUUACAGUGCUAUAAAUCCAGUCUCUCGAAUCAUCUACAAUAGUCAUUGCCGUGUUUUCCAUGUGAGAUACAUUAUAGUUGAGAGUCUUCAAAAAAAAAAUGCAUUUUGCAGUUUUUUUUUUAUUUACAUAUAUAUUUCAUUGGCAUGAAUGGAAUAAAUAAACCUGCCCCAGACUGUGUCUUGUUAUCUUUGUUGUGCAGGCAGGUUUUAUGGCCACUGCAGUUCACGUAGUUUGCCUGUGCUGGCACCUGGCUCAUGCCACAGGCAUCUCACCCAACAGAAACCUUUUUUCAGGGUGGCCAUGAUGGAUCCAGAUUGGGAUGAAGAUUACUUCCUUAAUGUGCUGAAACUCCUUUUACACAUACUUACCUAAACAUACAGUUCAUUACUCAAAUUACACUGUGAACAAGCUGUGAAUACUGUGCUAUAACACAGCUGGCCUGAGUUAUGUUACAGUCUAUGUGGGUUUUAUUGCAUAAUUUCUCAUGUGGUUUUGCCUCCAUAAGUGAGAUGAUCUACAUCAUCAUGUAGUCACCACGUGGUGGCGAUAAUAGCUUGUAAUGGUGGUGAGGUAUGAUUUAUGUCUCCUAAUGUAGCUUAAGUAUUAAUGACCCAUUACCCAGAUACACAUUGUACCUACUGGCCCGUUAGAGUUACAUACAUAUUCCUGUAUCUCUGAAAAAAAGUGUGCUCAGCUUGUGUGUAGACAUGACUCCUUAUAAAGCCACAAGGUGUAUGGAAUUUCCCCUUCUUCCUCUUGUACAGAGCAGACAUGCUGAGAAAACAUCAAGGUUAAUCAAAUCUGACUCACCUGAAGUGCUGUACAUGUGAAACAUUGUCUGAUUUGUAAAUGAAAUUGGCAGCAGGAUCAUUUGAUAUUGUAAAUGCUAAAAAGUCAACAAGACAUGUUCACAUUCAAAGACCUCAUAAGAUACAUAUCUGCAUGUCCCAGAUCAGACAGUACGGUGAAGAGUUGAUCACUGUUGGACCGCCAUCACUAAUCUUCAUUGGUCUACUCUUAAGAGAGGUGUGGUAAGAAUGCCGUGUCCCUGGGCUCUAAACUUUCUGCCUGGCCAGGCUUGAAAUAAGAACUGGGCUUGAAACGCUGAAAGCCUGAGAAGCCUUUAUUGCAGUGAUUUUCAACCUGUGGGCUGUCAAAAAAAAAAAAAAAUGUAUAUAUAUAUUUUUUACUGUUAAACAUCUACUAAAAAUGUUAUUAUCUGACUUUGAAAAGCACAUUGUAAUUUUCUUACAUAAUCAUUUGCGCAUAAAUAAGUGAGUCAUUUUUGAAUCAGAAAGGUUUUUUUUUUUUUUUUUUAAAGUGAGUAGUUUUUUCAUCCAAUGUAUUUACAGUGGACCAAAAUGUAAUACUGCUAGGACUGUGGUGCAGCACACAGCAAUGGUAAAAGCAAUGGUAAAAAAGACUACUAGUUUGAGUAAAACAAGUGAGUAAAAUGUGCAUGUAAAUGAGUGCAGCACACUUACAAUAAAUACAGCACUAGCUAUACAGUACAAUAGGAGUAUGAACUAGAUGGCAUAAUUUACAAAACCUAAACAGAAUAGCUGUAUAAGUAGCCCUAAAUAGUAGCAUACUACGUAGUAGCCGAAAAGCAUCUCAGAAUGGACAACACAUCAAACCUUGAGGUGGAUGGGUUACAGCAGAAGGAGACCACAUCAGGUUCCACUCCUGUCAGCCAAGAACCAAAAUCUGAGGCUAUCAUGGGCACAGACUCACCAAAACUGGAAACUCAUGACCUGUAUCUGCAUGAUUAUUUUAUUUUAUUUUAUUUUUGCAUUGCGCUGCUGCCACGUUUGGCUGAUUAGAUCACUGCAUUAAUGUGCAGGUGUUCCUAAAGGUGUUCCUAAAGUGGACAGUGAGUGUAAAUACUUUUGUCUUAAGAGCUUGUGCUGUCCCUUUCCUAAUUAAUAUAACAUGUUUGUAAAGCUGCACUGUUGUGCAUACAGGCCUGUUUUCUAAUUUACCAUGUUUAUUAUUAACAUAAUGUUACUGCUGUAUUUGUUGACCUGACGGUCAGAUUGGUUCUGUCUUGUCAUGAACUUUGGGAGCUUUUGUGGUUGGUCAUGUGGGCUGUUAUUUGUUAAAGGUUGGAAAUACUUUAUUCUCACAGAUGCUCAUUCUGAAACUCUGUUAUGACUCAAUAUAACCCUGUUAUUUCUAAAAUCAACACAGCCUCGAUAGAGUUUUGGGCUCCUGUCGCUUCUGAUGCACUGCAUGCUGCAACUGAGGGCAGUUUAUAGGAUUAGAACCUGUCUGGGGAAAAAAUGUGUUGGCUGCUUUGACACUUUUUGCAUCAUCUUGUGAGGAAAAAAAAAAAUUGGACAUAGUCCUAAACAUCUCAUCUCAUCAUCUCAUAAUAAUUGGACAGGGUGACAAGAGCUGAAUUUGCAAACAGAGAGUUCUUUUCAUCUACAGCAUGAACUGUAUUAAUUCCAGGGUGUUUUUUCCUCAAAUGUUGCUGAACAUCCAGCAGCAUCAAGGGAGAUUUAUGUGUAACCAAAAAGUUGCCUAGCUACAGACAGGUGAACUAUGGUGGAAAUGUAUGUGAGUUGCUCAGGAAUUCAUUCUUAGCUGCAAAAUGAAAUGAGUGUGUCAUGAUUCCAAAUCUUUUAAUUAACAAGCUUGACCCAACUUCACCUCUGUGCCACUUUCAGUGCAAUAUGUGCAGAAUAAUUAAUCCAUCAGUCUCAUUUGUCAGGAUAUCUUUUUCUUUCUGCUGGCAGGGAAAGGAUUAUGCAACCUACUCCAGAGCCAUACACACAUUACCUGAGAGAGUUCACAUCAGCACAGGCACAGCAGAGGACUUGGGGAAAGCUAGUACUGGCCCGACAGCUGCACAACAUUAGAACAACGUCGUAUUGAUGGACUCAGAAGGUCUAGUUUGUUGCUUCUGGAGUAGGCUAUACAAUAUAUGAAGCAUAGGUAGGAUAUGCUUUCAGACUUUUCUUCAUAGUCUGGGCAGUCUGCCCCGAAAGCACUGGAGCAAAUCUUUCAUGUCUGUGUGCAUCCCACCCUACCACAUCCUAUCAAGAGCUAGCAGUGGAUUUGCUUUCAUUCUCAGUGGACUUAUUGUUAAGGUUUAGUGCUUUCACCUGAAUCUGAGUGAGAUGUACUGUCAUGAACGAAAAUGCAUGAAUGAAGUACUUUGCAAAUGUUCCAGCGAUCAUCUCGAGGGAGCUGCAGUGUGCAAGAGCAACAUGGCUGGAUGGGGAUUUCGCACUUCUUGGACCAUGUAACAAAUGCAUACGUGUUAAACCCUAAUAAUCCAUCUAUACGGCAGAUGAGUCUGUCUGGGUAAAGGUGGAAAGUGCAUGUUUUUUCACGUGUCUGUGUAUAUGUAAAAGGUGUGUGUGUGUGCGCGUGUGCGCAAUUGUGUCUUCGAGUACAAUCUAUCUGUUCAAACUCUGUGUGUUUAGCUGUUGGCAGUCACGUACAUCAAAAAUGACACGUUAACACAUUGCCUAGAUACAGUGUAAUAAAAAAGCAAGGAAACAUU